CACUGCCCAAGAUGGCAGCCCUGUGGAGAGAGAGGGAGAUGAAGCAUGAAAAAAUAAAGUAGCAGCUGUAAAAAAUAAAGUAGCAUGGAAGUUUGAACAUUUUUUUUAUUUUCAUAUUGGACUGGCCAUUUUGGAUUUAUGUUUGGACCUUUCCCUAAAUGGAGUACUCUACGUUUCCACAUGAAUUAUCAGACUAUCGGGUUUAAUGGACUGAAGUUUCAUCCUGGACAUUGGGACAGCCAUUCACAUGGGAGUGAUGCAGCUGUCUGAUUCUGCACCCCAGUGAGUCACCUCCUCUCCUCUCCACCGUGGGGAUCGCAGCACAGUGGUUCCCAACCUUUUUCGGCCUCUGACCCCAUUUCCAGCUCUGAAAACGUUGGAAGACGAGCCUUUCACAUUUGUGCCUCCUGAAGAACAGUCUUCACCCAAUCAACAUCUGCCGCAUUCCACUGUGACCCCAUAUGCAUAUCAGACGACCCCAAGUGGGCCCCCGACACCAAGGUUGGGAACCACUGAGCCAGCAGCAUGAUGAACGUCUUCAGGUGGAUGAGUCUUCAUGUGAUGGAUGGGCCAUGUGGAAUUUGAGGCGGUGAUUUCCUGGAUUCCCCAGCACAGCAUCAGCCCCGGCGUGUAUUGUUUCAGGACCGAUAGACGAGACUCCUAUCCCUUCAUGACCUUGUUCAGAGUGAGCGACUGGUCUCCGGCAACAGCCACUCGCUUGGAGAUGGAUGGCACGAGUCAAAACGUGAUUUGCUAGGAAGUACAUUGCUUCUUGUAAACACUCGGGAAAUGUCCAUUGUGGACAGGCGCACGCCGAAAUAAAU